AUUUGUUUGAGUUUUUUUUGC
rnacentral:siRNA from 1 species